AACGAACGCUGGCGGCAGGCCGAACACAUGCAAGUCGAACGAGACCUUCGGGUCUAGUGGCGCACGGGUGCGUAACGCGUGGGAACCUGCCCUUAGGUUCGGAAUAACUCCCCGAAAGGGGUGCUAAUACCGGAUAAUGACUUCGGACCAAAGAUUUAUCGCCUUUGGAUGGGCCCGCGUUGGAUUAGCUAGUUGGUAGGGUAAAAGCCUACCAAGGCGACGAUCCAUAGCUGGUCUGAGAGGAUGAUCAGCCACACUGGGACUGAGACACGGCCCAGACUCCUACGGGAGGCAGCAGUGGGGAAUAUUGGACAAUGGGCGAAAGCCUGAUCCAGCAAUGCCGCGUGAGUGAUGAAGGCCUUAGGGUUGUAAAGCUCUUUUACCCGGGAUGAUAAUGACAGUACCGGGAGAAUAAGCUCCGGCUAACUCCGUG
rnacentral:rRNA from 1 species